CGGCGGACGGGUGAGUAAUGUAUGGGAAACUGCCCGAUGGGGGGGGAUAACUACUGGAAACGGUAGCUAAUACCGCAUAACGUCGCAAGACCAAAGAGGGGGACCUUCGGGCCUCUUGCCAUCGGAUGUGCCCAGAUGGGAUUAGCUAGUAGGUAAGGUAACGGCUUACCUAGGCGACGAUCCCUAGCUGGUCUGAGAGGAUGACCAGCCACACUGGAACUGAGACACGGUCCAG
rnacentral:rRNA from 1 species